rnacentral:lncRNA from 1 species
AGAUAGAUUAGGUUUAGUGUUAGAAUUUAGAUUAAACAAGCAGAGUCUGAUUUUCAAAACCAAAAACCAAAACCAACAUAGCACCCUAGAACUCUGGGAGCAAACACCCUGGAGCCAGGCUGAGCACACAGGGCAGCCACGUGGGGGUCUCCACCACCCAAGGAACCCUGGCUCCUCAGGAGGGGCCACAAAACAGGCCCUCAAUAAGUAUUUAUAGAACAAAUGAGUGAAUGAAUUUCGCUUGAAUUAAACAUGACUCGUCCACGCCUGGCAUAAUUCCUUUUCAUUCCAGUGAACGGAAGCCCGGCUGAGAGCAGGGAAGUUCCCUGAGCUGCCCAGCUGCCUAGGGGCUUUUCCGGCCUGGGCCAAGGCAGGAGGAAGCCCCAACUAACUCAUAGUCACUCCUCAGAAUACUUUUAUUAAAGGGGAAAAAAUCACCAAUGAUGAUAUCCAGUGACAAGCUUCUGCCACCCACACAUUCCACGUUCCACCUGGCCAUGAGCUGGUUUCAGUCUCAGGGCACAAGCAACACAAGUCAGAAUUUUUUUUUUUUUCUUUUAAUCUUUGGGGAAGAAACAGAAAAGGAGGAGAAAGCAGAGUAACAAGUGCAGAUUAAAUAUGAGGCAGGUCCAGGCUUUUGAUACCACUGUGUUUAACUCACCAAAUAAUCAGAGCAUUAAAUGCAGGCAUAAUUUGUCAGCAAGCUCCCUCCAUUGUUCCCUGAAGCAUGCGGGGUUGGGGGGGGGGUGUGGGCUAAUUCAAUUCACGUGGGAAUCGGUGUUUACAUCCACGAGUCCUAAUGGAAGGGCACACCAUUUUCAAACUGGAACAAAUAAAUCAUAAUGCCCUUUGCCACUAAAACCGGGGACCUUGCGAUGCCUCUCUCUUGGUGGACGAGCUACAUUUGGAAGGACGUUUUCUUCAGUGUGGAAAUCUCCACUUGCUGGCUACUGCAGCAAGUCCCAGAAGGCCCCUCGGAUCUUUGAGGUUGUCAUCUUCCUUUGCAAGUUUAGUCCUAAACCCGCUGACAACAAUCCAGUCUUCAGGAUGGAGGGCUGUCGGGAGCCCAGGGUAUCCUUGGUCAGACCGUGAGGCAUGUGAUACGGAGCCACGGAGGGCGGCAGAGUCCUUCUCAGAGAUCCGUCCACGCCACCAGCCCCAGGUCGACCGGAGGGUGUGUGGAAGCAGGAAAUUCAGGGGCUACAGUGAAACCCCGACUCUAGCUUCUCUGUUGCCAGUGAGUGACAGCUGGAUGUCAGGGGACUCACAAAUGUGGACUCAUACAAGGUUGGCAAAAGCGACAGGCUCAGAGGAACUGGCCCCAACUCAAACUAGGGUGCCCCCCCACUCUUGGCUCCCCCAAACCCGCAAGCCCUCACUUACCCGGCAGAAGCCUACUGCUCCCCUCCAAAAGCAGAGACAGCCGUGGAUUUUAAGACCUGAGAUGAUGCAUCACUGUGGCUGUAACACUGGACUGAAUCUUGUUCUGUGUUCUAUGUAUCAUAUUCUCUGAGAUAAAAAGGCAUUUCAGAGCAAAACAAAACACCAAACACAAGUUAAGAGCCACUGGAGUUACAUACGCAGGGAAGAGCAAAGGCCUCCAAGAAGGUGUGGUCAAAUGAACAGGAAGCUUUCCAAAGAACAGGGGCAAAUUCAGAAGAACGGGUAAGUUCAGAAGCUGGUGGUCCAGGUGAAUGUGGACCCCAAGGUCCAGUUCUGGGUUUUGCUUUGAGCUGCAAGCGUCAUCACUUUGUUCAAAACCCCCAGAGUUUUAUGUUUAUAAUAAAUGUAUUGCCUUGAUCA